rnacentral:miRNA from 1 species
AGCUGCGUGUGAGUGUGUGUGUGUGUGUGUGUGUGUGUGUGUGUGUGUACACAGGCUCCUGCUCUCAUGCACACAC